AGACCCGAAACCCGGUGAUCUAGCCAUGGGCAGGUUGAAGGUUGGGUAACACUAACUGGAGGACCGAACCGACUAAUGUUGAAAAAUUAGCGGAUGACCUGUGGCUGGGGGUGAAAGGCCAAUCAAACCGGGAGAUAGCUGGUUCUCCCCGAAAGCUAUUUAGGUAGCGCCUCGUGAAUUCAUCUCCGGGGGUAGAGCACUGUUUCGGCUAGGGGGCCAUCCCGGCUUACCAACCCGAUGCAAACUGCGAAUACCGGAGAAUGUUAUCACGGGAGACACACGGCGGGUGCUAACGUCCGUCGUGAAGAGGGAAACAACCCAGACCGCCAGCUAAGGUCCCAAAGUCAUGGUUAAGUGGGAAACGAUGUGGGAAGGCCCAGACAGCCAGGAUGUUGGCUUAGAAGCAGCCAUCAUUUAAAGAAAGCGUAAUAGCUCACUGGUCGAGUCGGCCUGCGCGGAAGAUGUAACGGGGCUAAACCAUGCACCGAAGCUGCGGCAGCGAACGUAUCACCCAAGACAACUUUACGGAGUUGACGAUUGACGGAGCGAAGCGACGUCAAAGCG
rnacentral:rRNA from 2 species